rnacentral:rRNA from 2 species
UCUUGACCUCAAAUCAGGUAGGAUUACCCGCUGAACUUAAGCAUAUCAAUA